CCAAAUGAUGUCAAAAUCGUCAUCAGGAAAAGUUAACUCUUUCCUGGAUAAGAAGGUUUAGUUAGGCAAGACUGCCCUCUUUGGAUCAAAUACCUAAAUUGCGAUCCAUAGAUUGAACACACCUACGGCUUCCUAUUGGCUUAUCAACUAAUGACGUACAGAGAGUCUGGCCCUUUAAAAGUUAGGACAAAGGGAAGAGAGGUUAGUUGGUAGAGAGAGAGGAGUUGGAGUUUGGGAAUUCAGAUUCGGACAUGCGGAGAGAGAGACUCAAGAAACAUUCUCUGGGACUAACACUCUACUCUUAAACUCUCUUG